GAACACGAACCACGACGAUGUGUUGCGGAGGCAGGACGUGCAUGCUCUGCACGUGCUUGAUCCUGGUCGUCAUCCUCAUCGGUCUCCUCUUCGGCUUCGGCGUCUUCAAGGACGGUUUCCACAAGAUCAAGGACAUCUUCCACGCCUGCGAUCCCUCCGCCGGUGAUGCAUGCGGAAGAAGACGAUUCUCCGGCGUCAGAGCUCCGCCUCCGCCCGGUUCUCCCUUCUAGCCUUCGCCGAUCUCGAUCCCGUUUCUAGGGUUUGGUGUCUCGUCUCUUCGAUUCCGUCGAAAUUGGGAUUUCGUCUCUGGAUAUUGUGGAAUGAUGCGUGAACGAACAGACAGUACGGAUGAUAGCCAAUGAAUUCAUACCCAACCGCCUGCAAGAAUGCAACUUAUCGUCGAUGGUUUUGGAUUUGAUUGAAUAAUGAUUACCGACAGAAAAGCUGCUUUCUUUAUUAUAAAAAAAAAAAGCCAACAAUUAUCCAAAAACAUGAAAAUGUGUCGUAUUACCAUUUUUAUUCCUAAAUACUUGUAUAAUGUGACUUCAACCUUAUAGUAUGGAACUAAAUUCGAUAUUGGAAUAGAUUUG